rnacentral:lncRNA from 1 species
AACAGUCUAGGAACUGGGGUGAGCCCUGGGUCUUGGGGAUCGCAUAGACAGGACAAAACAAGGGACAGAGGGACAUCGAGAGGCAUAUCUCACGGAGAAACGUCCGGGUUCGGCAGACACUGAUUUGAGUUUUCCCCCAGCUGACCCAGACAGUCAGGAUUCGGAGCCAGGACUUUGAUGUGAGGCAGCCUGG